rnacentral:rRNA from 1 species
ACCUGAAACCGUGUACGUACAAGCAGUGGGAGCACAGAGCAAUCUGUGUGACUGCGUACCUUUUGUAUAAUGGGUCAGCGACUUAUAUUCUGUAGCAAGGUUAACCGAAUAGGGGAGCCGAAGGGAAACCGAGUCUUAACUGGGCGUUAAGUUGCAGGGUAUAGACCCGAAACCCGGUGAUCUAGCCAUGGGCAGGUUGAAGGUUGGGUAACACUAACUGGAGGACCGAACCGACUAAUGUUGAAAAAUUAGCGGAUGACUUGUGGCUGGGGGUGAAAGGCCAAUCAAACCGGGAGAUAGCUGGUUCUCCCCGAAAGCUAUUUAGGUAGCGCCUCGUGAAUUCAUCUCCGGGGGUAGAGCACUGUUUCGGCAAGGGGGUCAUCCCGACUUACCAACCCGAUGCAAACUGCGAAUACCGGAGAAUGUUAUCACGGGAGACACACGGCGGGUGCUAACGUCCGUCGUGAAGAGGGAAACAACCCAGACCGCCAGCUAAGGUCCCAAAGUCAUGGUUAAGUGGGAAACGAUGUGGGAAGGCCCAGACAGCCAGGAUGUUGGCUUAGAAGCAGCCAUCAUUUAAAGAAAGCGUAAUAGCUCACUGGUCGAGUCGGCCUGCGCGGAAGAUGUAACGGGGCUAAACCAUG